rnacentral:rRNA from 1 species
GUAGGUGGCAAGCGUUGUCCGGAAUUAUUGGGCGUAAAGCGCGCGCAGGCGGUUCUUUAAGUCUGAUGUGAAAGCCCACGGCUCAACCGUGGAGGGUCAUUGGAAACUGGAGAACUUGAGUACAGAAGAGGAAAGCGGAAUUCCACGUGUAGCGGUGAAAUGCGUAGAGAUGUGGAGGAACACCAGUGGCGAAGGCGGCUUUCUGGUCUGUAACUGACGCUGAGGCGCGAAAGCGUGGGGAGCAAACAGGGAUUAGAUACCCUGGUAGUCCACGCCGUAAACGAUGAGUGCUAAGUGUUAGGGGGUUUCCCGCCCCCUUAGUGCUGCAGCUAACGCAUUAAGCACUCCGCCUGGGGAGUACGCCGCAAGGCUG